AUGAAAGAUGGAAGAAAUGAAGUAGUGGACAAGCAAACAUCAAUGUGGAGACAGAUUCUCAUUUUCCCCAUUUGGUCUUGGCUGCUUAAGAAAAGGUGAAAAGCAGGAGAAGAUGCUUCCCGGUACUGCAACGUAGGGCAAAGUGGAGCUGACAAAUGGAAAGAAUGUGACCUUGGGAAUGAGAUUCUUGCCUUUUCUGAGGUGCCCCAGCUUUGUCCCUGAAUAUGUGCUUAAUCUGCCAGCCAGGGAUCCAGAAGCACCAUCUCCCUGUCUGCAUUCUGAUCACCCACCUCACUUCCAGAUACUCGUACCUGGCUGGUAUCAGUUCUGUCAGACACAGCACUUCCCACGUAAGAGGGAACACGCCCAGGUGGACAGCGGUACUGCAGGACGCGAGAUGCACAAGGCAGAGGAAGAGCAAGGGCACUGCAGGCACUCGGGAAGGUGUCUCUAGAAAGUCUAAUCUGGAUUCCGCGGGAUAGGAAAGUGCCCUCUCCGGGAGAGCUAAGAAUAGAGACAAGUCAGCCGGGGUCGGGGCCAGUACCCAGAAAACGGCAUGGCCUAUUCUAGGGAUUCAAAGAUAUUCACCAGCAUUUAGAAUGUGGGGGUGGGAGAUUACAAAAGAUUGGCAAGGGUAAAAUCUUGCAAGAUAUUUGAACCAUAUUAAACCAACUUUUGCCUGAAAGCAAUAGAAAGCCAUUGAAAAAUUUUAGGCAGAGGAAUAGAUUCUUGUCAUCUCUACAUUGAAAAUAAUCCACCCAAAUUACCAUUUGAUCCAGCAAUGCCCCUUCUGGGUGUAUAUAUACCCAAAAGAAUUAAAAGCAGGGUCUCAAAGGGAUAUUUGUACACUCUUGUUUAUGGCAGCAUUAUUGACAAUAGCUGAGAGGUGGAAGCAGCCAAAUGUCCAUCAACAGAUGAAAGGAAAAACCAGAUGGGAAAUGUACAUCCAAUGGAGUAUUACUCGGCUUUAAAAAGGAUGGAAAGUCUGGCAG
rnacentral:lncRNA from 1 species